rnacentral:rRNA from 1 species
UACGUAGGCAGCGAGCGUUGUUCGGAAUUACUGGGCGUAAAGAGUGUGUAGGCGGUGCUCUAAGUUCGGUGUGAAAUCUCCUGGCUUAACUGGGAGGGUGCGCCGGAAACUGGAGUGCUCGAACGUGGGAGAGGAAAGCGGAAUUCCUGGUGUAGCGGUGAAAUGCGUAGAUAUCAGGAGGAACACCUGCGGUGUAGACGGCUUUCUGGACCAUUGUUGACGCUGAGACACGAAAGCGUGGGUAGCAAACAGG